GACGAACGCUGGCGGCGUGCUUAACACAUGCAAGUCGAACGGAAAGGCCCUGCUUUUGUGGGGUGCUCGAGUGGCGAACGGGUGAGUAACACGUGAGUAACCUGCCCUUGACUUUGGGAUAACUUCAGGAAACUGGGGCUAAUACCGGAUAGGAGACCCUGCUGCAUGGUGGGGGUUGGAAAGUUUCGGCGGUUGGGGAUGGACUCGCGGCUUAUCAGCUUGUUGGUGGGGUAGUGGCUUACCAAGGCUUUGACGGGUAGCCGGCCUGAGAGGGUGACCGGCCACAUUGGGACUGAGAGACGGCCCAGACUCCUACGGGAGGCAGCAGUGGGGAAUAUUGCACAAUGGGCGGAAGCCUGAUGCAGCAACGCCGCGGGCGGGAUGACGGCCUUCGGGUUGUAAACCGCUUUCGCCUGUGACGAAGCGUGAGUGACGGUAAUGGGUAAAGAAGCACCGGCUAACUACGUG
rnacentral:rRNA from 1 species